rnacentral:misc_RNA from 1 species
UAUCGCCGCUGGAUUAUAGAUGGAAUUCCUGGAGUGGGUAGAGGUCCCAUUCUUGAUCUCGUUGCAGGAUCGUUUGCUGGUGGAACUGCUGUACUUUUUACCUAUCCACUUGAUUUAGUUCGAACUAAACUGGCUUACCAGGUAGUUGGAUCCCAAAAGUUGAAUAUACAAGGGAUUGUUGCUGGUGAACAAGUUUACAAGGGAAUAAAGGAUUGUUUUUCAAAGACAUACAAGGAAGCUGGAAUAAAGGGACUAUACCGUGGAGUUGCUCCGUCACUCUAUGGAAUCUUCCCCUAUGCUGGGCUGAAAUUUUACUUCUACGAGACAAUGAAGAGCCAUGUCCCUAAGGAGCGGAAGAAUGAUAUCACGAUAAAACUAGCUUGUGGAUCUGUAGCAGGACUUCUAGGACAAACUUUCACUUAUCCUCUAGAUGUGGUUAGGCGGCAAAUGCAGGUCCAGAGACUCUCAGCAUCUAACAGCCACGAACUGAAAGGAACAGCAGAUACUCUUGUUAUGAUUUUACAAAAACAUGGAUGGAAACAACUGUUUUCCGGGCUCAGCCUCAAUUAUCUGAAGGUUGUACCAUCUGUUGCGAUUGGGUUUACUGUUUACGAUUUGAUGAAAGCGUACCUGAGAGUACCAUCACGAGAUGAGGCUGUUGUAGAAGUCGUCACUAGUAACAGAGAUAGUCAACCAUCGACCCUGCACUCCUAACAAUCUUCUUCAGGCUCAGCGAUUGUCAAGUACAAUUUCGGGGCCAUCUUGAG